rnacentral:rRNA from 1 species
CCUACGGGUGGCAGCAGUAGGGAAUAUUGCUCAAUGGGGGAAACCCUGAAGCAGCCAAGUAGCGUGAAGGAUGACUGCCCUAUGGGUUGUAAACUUCUUUUAUAUGGGAAUAAAAUGUUCCACGUGUGGGAUUUUGUAUGUACCAUAUGAAUAAGGAUCGGCUAACUCCGUGCCAGCAGCCGCGGUAAUACGGAGGAUGCGAGCGUUAUCCGGAUUUAUUGGGUUUAAAGGGUGCGCAGGCGGAGGUGCAAGUCAGCGGUCAAAUUGCGGGGCUCAACCCCGUACUGCCGUUGAAACUGCAUCCCUUGAGUGCGCGAGAAGUAUGCGGAAUGCGUGGUGUAGCAGUGAAAUGCGUAGAUAUCGAGAGGAACACUCGUGGCGAAGGCGGGUUCCUGGACAUUAACUGACGCUGAGGCACGAAGGCCAGGGGAGCGAAAGGGAUUAGAUACCCGAGUAGUC